rnacentral:rRNA from 1 species
UACGGAGGGUGCAAGCGUUAUCCGGAUUCACUGGGUUUAAAGGGUGCGUAGGUGGGCAGUUAAGUCAGUGGUGAAAUCUCCGGGCUCAACCCGGAAACUGCCAUUGAUACUAUCUGUCUUGAAUAUCGUGGAGGUAAGCGGAAUAUGUCAUGUAGCGGUGAAAUGCUUAGAUAUGACAUAGAACACCAAUUGCGAAGGCAGCUUACUACCCGAAUAUUGACACUGAUGCACGAAAGCGUGGGUAGCGAACAGG